rnacentral:rRNA from 1 species
UGGCGGCAUGCUUUACACAUGCAAGUCGAACGGCAGCGGGGUAGUGCUUGCACUACUGCCGGCGAGUGGCGAACGGGUGAGUAAUAUAUCGGAACGUACCGAGUAAUGGGGGAUAACCAAUCGAAAGAUUGGCUAAUACCGCAUACGUCCUAAGGGAGAAAGCGGGGGAUCGCAAGACCUCGCGUUAUUCGAGCGGCCGAUAACUGAUUAGCUAGUUGGUGGGGUAAAGGCCUACCAAGGCGACGAUCAGUAGCGGGUCUGAGAGGACGAUCCGCCACACUGGGACUGAGACACGGCCCAGACUCCUACGGGAGGCAGCAGUAGGGAAUUUUGGACAAUGGGGGCAACCCUGAUCCAGCCAUGCCGCGUGUAUGAAGAAGGCCUUCGGGUUGUAAAGUACUUUUGUUAGGGAAGAAAAGGGAAGUGCUAAUACCACUUUUUGCUGACGGUACCUAAAGAAUAAGCACCGGCUAACUACGUGCCAGCAGCCGCGGUAAUACGUAGGGUGCAAGCGUUAAUCGGAAUUACUGGGCGUAAAGCGAGCGCAGACGGUUACUUAAGCAGGAUGUGAAAUCCCCGGGCUUAACCUGGGAACUGCGUUCUGAACUGGGUAGCUAGAGUAUGUCAGAGGGGGGUAGAAUUCCACGUGUAGCAGUGAAAUGCGUAGAGAUGUGGAGGAAUACCGAUGGCGAAGGCAGCCCCCUGGGAUAAUACUGACGUUCAUGCUCGAAAGCGUGGGUAGCAAACAGGAUUAGAUACCCUGGUAGUCCACGCCCUAAACGAUGUCGAUUAGCUGUUGGGCAACUUGAUUGCUUAGU